GACGGAGGAUGCAAGCGUUAUCCGGAAUGAUUGGGCGUAAAGCGUCCGCAGGUGGCAGUUCAAGUCUGCUGUCAAAGACCGGGGCUUAACUUCGGAAAGGCAGUGGAAACUGAACAGCUAGAGUAUGGUAGGGGCAGAGGGAAUUCCUGGUGUAGCGGUGAAAUGCGCAGAUAUCAGGAGGAACACCGGUGGCGAAGGCGACAUCCUGGACCGGUAUUGACGCUGAGGCGCGAAAGCCAGGGGAGCAAACGGG
rnacentral:rRNA from 1 species